rnacentral:rRNA from 1 species
UACAGAGGUCUCAAGCGUUGUUCGGAUUCAUUGGGCGUAAAGGGCGCGUAGGCGGCCGGGUAAGUCGGGUGUGAAAUCUUGGGGGCUCAACCCUGAAAUGGCACCCGGUACUGCUUGGCUCGAGGGCUGGAGAGGAGAUCGGAAUUCACGGUGUAGCAGUGAAAUGCGUAGAGAUCGUGAGGAAGACCGGUGGCGAAAGGCGGAUCUCUGGACGGCUAAAACUGACGCUGAGGCGCGAAGGCCAGGGGAGCAAACGGG